rnacentral:rRNA from 1 species
UACAGAGGAGCCAAGCGUUGUCCGGAUUGACUGGGCGUAAAGCGCACGCAGGCGGAUGCGCGCGUGGGGUGUGAAAUCUGGCCGCUUAACGGCCGGGCGCCAUCCCAUACGGCGCGUCUGGAGUGAUGCAGAGGUCGAUGGAAUUGCCGGUGUAGUGGUGAAAUGCGUAGAGAUCGGCAGGAACACCCAGGGGGAAACCAGUCGACUGGGCAUCUACUGACGCUGAGGUGCGAGAGCGUGGGGAGCGAACCGG